GUCACAAAACGGUUAACGCUUUUUUCCAUGCUUAAAAAUGCCCUUCUAAAAGUAGGGCGUGCCCUGGGGGACGUCAACAAACUUCAAGACUGAGCAGAUCUCUGUUCUCCGGAAUCUUUCUUUCUUUCAAAAGAAGCCUCAUCCGUAGUUGUGGAGAAAGUCUGUGCAAAUUGAUGCACGUUUAGCAACGUCGGCCAGAGUUUCCAGAUAGAACUGGAACAGGAAAAUUCCCUUGUUCUAGGCAGAACCUCUUGGCUUCAAUGUUCUUUUCAGCAUGGAGACCAGGGAGCUGUGGAAAUGUGUUCGUUUAUUCUGUUAUGAGAAGUGUGGCAGGCGGCCGCCGCUUGCGUCUUUCACAGCUCUCCCACAUCCUUUUACCUGAGCGUGCUGAUGGGUUGGUGCAGGGGAUGCUUUCCUAGCAGCCCUGUAGCAGUCCAUAUUCUUAAGCAGUCAGUUCUGUCUUCCUUGGCUGGUUAAACUCUAAGCCAUGUAUUCAUUUAAUAAAAGUGAAUAAAUAAAGCUGUGACAAAUUACCUGGAAAGCUGAGUGAAGUAGGGUGUUGCGUUGGGAGGGAGGGGAACUAUUUCUGGAGAAAGAAUUAAAGAACUGCCAGAGACAUGUAAUACGUCCCUGUCUUAACUGAUCCAGCUCUGCUUUGAGAUAAGCUGGGGGAGACUUUUUUGCUUUCUCUGCUCCCAUUGGAAGCUUUCCUUCCACGUUUCCCUGAUUUGCAGCCUGAAGGUGCGCAUGUGUUUCGGCUGGUGUUGUGAAGAAGGUACUGGGGAAGGAGAUGAUGAGGUGGAGAUUUGAACCAAGUUAAGGAGCAUGACAACCAAAAAACAUGUUGUAGACUAAUGCUGUUGGCCAUAUACUGAAAAUUUUCUUCUUAGUGCUUAAAAAUUUCCCCUUACAUCUUAAUGUCCACUGCUCUGAAAUUCUACGGAUCACCGGUAUCUGUUCUGUUUCAGGUUGUUAAUGCUGCAGUAUUUGUGCAAACAAAUGUAUUUUCAAGUGUUUUUUUUUCAGUGGUUUGCAUCUCAGUUGCAGAAAGAACUUACGCUUUUUAUACAAGAAGAAUUUAGAUUUGCUUCCAGAUUGAAGCUGUCUGUGUCCUGUUACGUACAGUAUUAGCCCUUAAGAACUUUUCUUAUGUUCUCUGAAAACAGCUCA